AUGUUUAUGGCUACCGUAAGAAUCAACCCAACCGCAAUAAUUAAGCAAAAUGAAAAGUAUAUUCAAUCAAGUUAUUAGUCAGAAUCGAUUUGCUAUGGAAACGUAAAAUGACAACAUUGAAACUGCGACAGAAACGAAGCUAGCUCCCUCUUCGUAUCGUAUAGAAAAUAAUAGCUACAGUAGCUAACGUUAGCUACGUUACGAAACCACAGCAAUGGUGAACCAUCAUUACCGGCUGAUGCUGCGAAUACCAGCUCAUAUGAACACAUUCACGAAGUCAACAUAUAAAGUAGGUCAUAGUGAUAUUCUACAGCAAAAGUUUGUUUCCAAAUACUUACCGCCUUGGCCGACAGCACCUUUUUGGCGAGGACACGGGAGGCAGUACACACCGCAGCCAUGAUGGGUCGUUUCGUCUGAUAAAAGCAACGUUACCAAACACCUCUGACACGCCUUGGGUCCCAGUGUAUGCCGGUGCCGGAGUAUACCAUCUCAAGAGAGGGUUUCGUUUCGUCAAGGGAAAAAUUAAAUAAUCCUCAUUGAUGAAAUACAGAAUUCAUUAUAUAGUCAAGUGGGAAAUUACGGAAUGUUUAUUUUCAUAAGAGAGACGAUUGAGGUUCGAUUGAAGAGACAUUCAUGAACAUAAAGGCCAGACGAACAACCUGACGCUAAGGAUAUACUGCUGCUCCCGGACGAGGCCCAAAUCCCUGUCAUUCGCAUGAAGAGGAGACUGAUUCAGAGGCUGCAGAUCCGGAUACCUUGUGAGAAUUUGUCGGUGACUGGGUUAUCCGCCUGUAACAUCUGUCCUAUAUGCCGACAUGCAAUCACUGGAGAAUAAACUGGAAGAGCUCCGUUCAAGACUAUCCUACUAACGGGACAUUAAAAUCUGUAAUAUCACAGAGUUGUGCCUGAACGACGACAUGGAUAAUAUACAGUUGGCUGGGUUUUCCGUGCAUCAGCCAGACACAACAGCUACCCCAGGUAAGACAAGGGGUGGUGGUCUGGGUCUAUUUGUCAGUAACAGCUGGUGUGCGAUCUCUAAUAUUAAGGAAGUCUCAGGCCGGAGUGGCGGCAAUGGGAACAAGUGGAAUUACGCCCUACUAAUGCCCAUGAUUGACCUACCUGCCUUCCGUAAGUACUGUAUUACAUAUACACAAGCUGCAUGCUCAAGGACCUCUGCAGGAGCACAGAGCAGCUUGUCUGUUGACUAGAUAUAAGUUAAUUACGUGUACCGUUGCUGACUCAACCUUACUUUGCUAUGAGACGGCCACUGUGCUCAGUUUACAGACAUCCAUUUUAGGCCAAUGAAUAUGUACUGUGCUGUUGAUGUCUUAUUAAAUGCAUUAACUAUCUCAAUGCACUUCCUGCUAUCCAAGAUUGGCAUGUCAGAUGACAAAUGUUCCUUACUCUCAUUUGGUAAAAUAAGGUCUGAACAAGUGGCAACAUUCCAUAACUUGUAAGGCAUAGGUAACAGACAACAAGCUAAAUGUGU